rnacentral:rRNA from 1 species
AACGUAGGUGGCAAGCGUUAUCCGGAAUUACUGGGCGUAAAGGGUGCGUAGGCGGGUCUUUAAGUCAGGGGUGAAAUCCUGGAGCUCAACUCCAGAACUGCCUUUGAUACUGAAGAUCUUGAGUUCGGGAGAGGUGAGUGGAACUGCGAGUGUAGAGGUGAAAUUCGUAGAUAUUCGCAAGAACACCAGUGGCGAAGGCGGCUCACUGGCCCGAUACUGACGCUGAGGCAUGAAAGCGUGGGGAGCAAACAGG